GUGAACGCUGGCGGUAGGCCUAACACAUACAAGUCGAACGGCAGCACAGUAAGAGCUUGCUCUUACGGGUGGCGAGUGGCGGACGGGUGAGGAAUGCAUCGGAAUCUACUUUUUCGUGGGGGAUAACGUAGGGAAACUUACGCUAAUACCGCAUACGACCUACGGGUGAAAGCAGGGGAUCUUCGGACCUUGCGCGAUUGAAUGAGCCGAUGUCGGAUUAGCUAGUUGGCGGGGUAAAGGCCCACCAAGGCGACGAUCCGUAGCUGGUCUGAGAGGAUGAUCAGCCACACUGGAACUGAGACACGGUCCAGACUCCUACGGGAGGCAGCAGUGGGGAAUAUUGGACAAUGGGCGCAAGCCUGAUCCAGCCAUACCGCGUGGGUGAAGAAGGCCUUCGGGUUGUAAAGCCCUUUUGUUGGGAAAGAAAAGCAGCAGGUUAAUACCCCGCUGUUCUGACGGUACCCAAAGAAUAAGCACCGGCUAACUUCGUG
rnacentral:rRNA from 1 species